rnacentral:rRNA from 1 species
AUUGAACGCUGGCGGCAUGCCUUACACAUGCAAGUCGAACGGCAGCACGGGGCAACCUGGUGGCGAGUGGCGAACGGGUGAGUAAUGCAUCGGAACGUACCUUUCAGUGGGGGAUAACGUAGCGAAAGUUACGCUAAUACCGCAUAUUCUGUGAGCAGGAAAGCAGGGGAUCGCAAGACCUUGCGCUGAUUGAGCGGCCGAUGUCAGAUUAGCUAGUUGGUGAGGUAAAGGCUCACCAAGGCGACGAUCUGUAGCGGGUCUGAGAGGAUGAUCCGCCAACCUGGAACUGAGACACGGUCCAGACGCCUACGGGAGGCAGCAGUGGGGAAUUUUGGACAAUGGGGGCAACCCUGAUCCAGCCAUGCCGCGUGAGUGAAGAAGGCCUUCGGGUUGUAAAGCUCUUUCGGCCGGGAAGAAAUCGCACGGGCUAAUACCCUGUGUGGAUGACGGUACCGGAAUAAGAAGCACCGGCUAACUACGUGCCAGCCGCCGCGGUAACAC